rnacentral:rRNA from 1 species
UAGUAACUAUACACAGUAGAGACGGUACCUAACCAGAAAGCCACGGCUAACUACGUGCCAGCAGCCGCGGUAAUACGUAGGUGGCAAGCGUUGUCCGGAAUUAUUGGGCGUAAAGCGCGCGCAGGUGGUUUAAUAAGUCUGAUGUGAAAGCCCACGGCUCAACCGUGGAGGGUCAUUGGAAACUGUUAAACUUGAGUGCAGGAGAGAAAAGUGGAAUUCCUAGUGUAGCGGUGAAAUGCGUAGAGAUUAGGAGGAACACCAGUGGCGAAGGCGG